GGCCCGUUGGUCAAUCGGUUAAGACGCCUCCCUUUCACGGAGGAAUGAGGGGUUCGAUUCCCCUACGGGCUACUA
rnacentral:tRNA from 1 species